UCAAUCUGAUCCAGAAAAGAAGCUAUCUGAUAUUUGUAUUUUCAAUUGAAAUUUUCAGGUUAUGUUUAUAGAAUUUACAGUAACAUUUGAAUAUGGAACCGUCAUUGUGUUAUAUCUGCGUUAUUAUGCCUGGAUCUAGGCAAUGUCUGCCUUUACUUUCUUUUAUGAAAAUUUGGUGCUUUGUUGUUGCGGUUGUUGGUCGGUCAGUCACUCGAUCACUGUUAUACUUGCAUCUGUUGUAUAUUUAUAGUUUGAUUUAGAUUUAGUUGAUG
rnacentral:misc_RNA from 1 species